AGUAACUCUGCUCAUAUACUCUGGGGGACAAAUCACAAAAUCUGUGACAUUUUUCCUGACAGUAAGUGUUGUUGAUGAGAAAAACAAAAAAAGAAAAAAGAGGGAUUUGUUGUCAUGAUUGUAGAGUUGUUCUUUCUUGUGAGUGGAUGCAUUCAGUCCAGCAUACAAAUAAAUAAUUUAGAAUGUUUGGGGAUAUUUUUUUUUUUUGCGUAGUGACUUGUUUCCGUGGGAGAAAGGAAUGUUUUCCUAUUGACCAAAAUAGUUAUCAGUCCCCAUUUGUGGUUUAACAAAAUUGUGCAAUAUACAUGUUAGGCCUCAUAUUUUAUAUGUAUGAUAUUCAAUUUAUUGUUUUGUAUUUCUGUAUUCAAGUGAUAUUAGUAUUUGUCCUAAGCUGUUUACUUGUAAAAUGGUGUGUACGUCAUGAAAAAACGGUUGACUGAUGUUUUUGGGUAUAAGUGUACUGAAAAAAAACUGGUACAUUGUAACAUGUUUUUGAGAAGAAAACGACAUGAAAACAAUUAAAAUGAGUAAAUUUGAGCUAAUCUUGUUGGUUGCAUGAAGAGAACGUCGAUUUAAAUAGGCUUUUAUUUUGUUUCUAUCCCUCCCCAAAAGUAUUUCAUAUGAGAAUUUUUCUAGAAAAUAUGUAGCUCUGUUUUGUUGAUUGAGACUGUCAAAAAAAUCAUGUAUUUGCAAUGAAAAUUACAGCAAAAUAUCUUCAACACUGCCAUUUGCUUCUGGUUUUAUUAUAAAUGCAAACUGUAAUCAACCAACCAACCAAUCCCAAGAAUUUGAUACUAACAAAAUUGUUCCUUCAGUCAUUAUAUGCACCCACUUGCAUGUUUAUAAUGUUUUAAAUAUUUUUCAUAUACUAGUGCAGAAUUUUUUUUCAUGGUGUGAUGUGGAUUAGGUUAUCUAACUUGUGUGUGACGAUUGUAUAUCAAUGGUAUUUACAGCAGCAUUCACUUGGUCGAAAAAUCUUCAUUCACUUAGAAUAACACUGGAGAAAGUGUGUUUCCUUGUAGGACGGAGGGUAGAUUGCUCACCAUUUGUCCAGACGACUUUUUCAGAUACAUAAUAAUAUACAUUGUUUUGCUAACUUUCUUUAUCAAUUUUACAUUCUUUCUAUUUCUUUGUUUAUCUUUGUUCCCCUUAUUUAGAAAUACUUUUAAAAAAGCUCUCUUAAAAUUGUGCUAUAGUUUUAUGAACAAAAUACCGUCGCCCUUUUACACAGUACCCCUGAUAUUUAGAGGCUAUUUCCUUAAACUUUGAGAGAAUCUGUGAUUCUGUGGUAUUUUGUUUAUGUGAUGUUCACUUUUCAUUUGAUCUUUCCACUCAUACUAUCCCAUCAUUCCUGACACCUCGUGUACGCUAGCACAUCCUAUCUUUGAAGUUUUCUCCUUGGGCUUUCUCUAUCUUAAUUAUGUACACAUUUAAUAAAAUAUUUAUUAUAUUUUCUUUUCAUAUUCAAGAUUAAAUGUGUUUAUGAAUCACUUUUUAUGAAUUUACAAAAAUUUGAAUGUAUUUUAUUGUAAAUGAGCUCUAUGAUGUAUAUUUCACUUACUAGACAUGUUGUACAACUUUUUUUCAAAUAAAACUUUAAUGUGACUAUGUAAUGUAGUGCUUUCAUCAUGUAAUUUUUGAAAUAAACAUUUCUUAAGACUUC
rnacentral:sRNA from 1 species